ACGGUGAUGCCCGCCAUGGUGUAGUAGUCAGCGUAGAAGUUAUGAAACAUGGUGGUUGUCUCCAUGUUUGGGUCCAUCAUACUGCGUGCGAAGCAGUGGUGGAUGCCAUAACCUGCUAGUCUGAAAGAAGAAUGAAGAGGUUUGGACAAAUGCAACAAAUGUUGUGGAGAAAAACAACUGUGGCACAGUUGCUUACCAGAUAUAGGACAGCAUGAGCAGGAGUGGACCGAUUAUGACCACCUGCAGGAUCUGCCAAUCACGACAGAGAGCCGCGAGUCCUGGCAGGAGCAGCUGUCCAGCCAACACCACAAAGUUAGCCACCAUGGUCAUGGAGAAACGCAAGCCGGGUAGACAAAGCUCGAUCCCUGUAAAUGCAAACAAACAGAUCCAACAUAAGCAGACUAAAUAAAUAUUGAGGUUUUAGUGAUAAGCCCAGAGA